CGGGGGGCAGGGGGUUCCCUAAGCCUGGAUUGCGAGAGGGUGCAGGCCAGGCCAAGGGACCCCACCGGUGCACG
rnacentral:pre_miRNA from 1 species